rnacentral:rRNA from 1 species
UACGUAGGGGGCUAGCGUUGUCCGGAAUCAUUGGGCGUAAAGCGCGUGUAGGCGGUCCGGUAAGUCCGCUGUGAAAGUCGAGGGCUCAACCCUCGAAUGCCGGUGGAUACUGUCGGGCUAGAGUGCGGAAGAGGCGAGUGGAAUUCCUGGUGUAGCGGUGGAAUGCGCAGAUAUCAGGAGGAACACCGAUGGCGAAGGCAGCUCGCUGGAACGUAACUGACGCUGAGACGCGAAAGCGUGGGGAGCAAACAGG